GAGGACAAGGAGAAAGAAGGCGGCGGCCGCCGGGUCCACCCCUUGCCUUCGACGGUCCAGCAGUGCCGCCGCGCGCUCACUGGCGCGGAAAUGCUGGCUGCUGAGCCCAGGUGAAGGGGCCGGCCCGUUCCCCCUCAUAGGCGCGAGCAGCCGCCUCAGUCGCUAAGUCGGAGGUCGCCAGCCCGUCGCUACGUCGGUCGUCCAAAUGGAGCUGCUGCGCUUUGGGAGCGCCAAGCGGCUCCUCCGCGUCUGGAUUCUGCCGGCCUUGUUGUCGUGGAGCGCGGCGGUGCAGCUGUCCCCAAGGAGCGCCACUGUCGGCCACACAAGGAAUGGAAGCAGUGCAGUACCUCAGAAAGGAGAUCCCAGCGCCCUGGGAGAGCAGGUAAGGAUCACCUUAUGGGAGCUGUUUUUCUGGCUUUUA
rnacentral:lncRNA from 1 species